GUACAAAUUUCAAAAAAGGGGGCACAAGGGCCUCUUCUUUCUACUGCAACAUUCUAAACUUGUGUUUCAUAAGAAAAAAACAUAGACACUGGGGGAAACCCGGUCUACAGAAGUGCACAGGUGGUGAAAAGGAGAAAGAGUUGGGGGGAAAGGGGGGGAGGGGGAGAAGGCAUGCACAAUGCUCCAAAAGAAGCCAGCAACAACCCCCAAACCCCUUUUUUCCCAACCUUUUUUCCCCCCCCGCAAUAAUGAUCCUUCCGCAGGUUCACCUACGGAAA
rnacentral:misc_RNA from 1 species